AUGCAAUAUUUAACGGUUUUUUUGUAACGUAAGCUGACCGUUGACGUAAGCUUACUAUUUUCAUAACAAAUUAGCUUCAAUUUAUUUGUUUUUAUUGUGAUGUUUGUUUCAUACUCUUGUGAUGUAUCAUGUUACCAAAAGAGCCUUCAUAAACGGAUUAAAACUCAAAAUCUGACCAGUAAAUUGUGUACAACUGAUAGCCCAGGUGAUCAUCUUGAGAUGUUUAUGAUUCACUUGUUAGUCUUUGUUUCUAUUCUGUUGCCUGUUUUCAACAAACUUGAUAGUGAAUCUAUGUGAGAAUCAACUUGAUCACAAGUUUGUAAAUUAUAUUGAUAAACAAGGACGUUUAGAUAAGUUGGUUGAACAAGAAAUAAACUGACUACGAUAUUGGAUCACUGUUACCACCAUCAACCAAACCUAUGCAAAACAAAGAAACUUCAAUUGGCUUACUGGUGCUAUCUUAUUGACGGAUCUCAAUCAAUUGGUAUCAACAUAAUGAAAAACAAAUUAUACGAUUGACAAGUACCCUAAAGGAGUGAACGGAAUCAAAAUAUACAUCAUUGUUUGGAAAUGAAAAAAAAAACGGAUACCUUUCAAUUUAACCUGAACAAAUAUGUAUUUUGAGUAUUAUUCAAUUAAGUUUGAUUAUAUAACAUUCAAGUAUUCAUAUCAGCAUCAAAGCUCAACUUGAGAUGUUGCGUUCAACUCACCAAAGAGCAUCGUGCAUUAGCUGAUGACGCCAUUACAGUUCUUCAAUCUUUCAAUUAGUAUCUAUAUUAUGAGAAUGAUUGACCAGAAACUGAUUCAAAUACAGAGUGCCCUAAAAAUCAAAUCAUUGAGGCAAAACAAAUUACAUUGAACAUUGAAAUGCAAGUAAAUUCAUUGCUGGAUCGAAUGUAACGUGUUGAAGAAACAUCGUCAUAAAGAACAUCGUGAAGAACAUUUUUCCUGGCAAAAAAUCAAAACUAGAAACUAAACUGGAAAGGUCAGAGGUUAUGCUACAAGACCUCAACUUGAAUCAGUCAAAGUUUGUUAGAGGCAAUUAAAAUCAAAGGAUCAAGACUCGUGGAGACAAUAAAGGAUUUGGAAAGAUAAAAAAAUUGACCAUUAGAUGACCAUUCAUCCAUUACGUAUACUUCUACCUUUACUGUACCUCUUCAUUUGUUGGAUAAACUCAUCUUGAAAUUGUACUUUUAUCGUCAAUGUCACAGCCUUGUGAUGUACUUUGGUUUCAUCUUCUUCUUUCCCCAUUCGCAUUCUCAAUUAUUCAUCAAAAAUUGAGUCUUCUUUGGACCUGACUGUAUAUUGUUCAAUACAAUCAAUUGUAUCAACAACAACAAAGAGUAUGAAACUAACUGGCAAAAACAACUUCGGAUUUAAUUGAAGUUCAUUUAAACACAUGGAGAAACUGUAUACUGUCUAUUGACCUGUCCAUUACUCUACCAAAAAUUAGGAUUGAAACGACUUUUCAACUUUGAAUUUGCCAUUGGAUUACAAUUGUAUGGUUAAAGUUGAUUACCUGAUUUAUACGGGGUGAGCUUGAUGCUGAUGUUUUCAGACUAAAGCUGUUGAAAAUGAUUACUGUGAUUAGAUUAGUGGAUGAAGAGGAGGCAGUACCCAGAAGAGAUCGAUGAAAGUAGAAAAAUAACAUUUCUAUGGAAUCAACUUUCAUAUCAAAGCAAUUGACAAAAGCUGUGAUAACAAUAAUUUUUUUAAAUUUUUGAUUAUAAUUUUAUGGCAAUAUCAUGGUGGUGUUGCUCAGUACAAGUGUCUUUUCAAAUGAAAUGCAACGACGAAGCAAGGAAAACAUAACAAAAAAAACAAGAAAAUGCGAAGGAAACUACGGAAAACCGGUUCGAACCAAUUUGUGUGCUAAGUUGUUAUUUGUUUAUAAAUUGUAGAUCAUUAAACAUUAUUUGUAUUCUGUAUCAAUAUAAAUAUGCUAUUAUUUCUGUAGGAUCACUAAAUCUACAUGCUAAAUCACAAUUUUGUAGGAAAAAACAAGUGACUCAUCUUCAUCAGCUAUCAUCAAACUAUUUUGAAAUCAAUCUUGAAAGACUUGAUUAAAUGUGAUUCAAUUUGUGCA